rnacentral:rRNA from 2 species
CCUGAUUGACGAUGGAUUACCAGUGAGUGGGACGGGUGAGUAACACGUAGGUAACCUGCCCCGGAGCGGGGGAUAACAUUUGGAAACAGAUGCUAAUACCGCAUAACAACAAAAGCCACAUGGCUUUUGUUUGAAAGAUGGCUUUGGCUAUCACUCUGGGAUGGACCUGCGGUGCAUUAGCUAGUUGGUAAGGUAACGGCUUACCAAGGCGAUGAUGCAUAGCCGAGUUGAGAGACUGAUCGGCCACAAUGGAACUGAGACACGGUCCAUACUCCUACGAGGCAGCAGUAGGGAAUCUUCCACAAUGGCGCAAGCCUGAUGGAGCAACACCGCGUGAGUGAGAAGGGUUUCGGCUCGUAAAGCUCUGUUGUUGGAGAAGAACGUGCGUGAGAGUAACUGUUCACGCAGUGACGGUAUCCAACCAGAAAGUCACGGCUAACUACGUGCCAGCAGCCGCGGUAAUACGUAGGUGGCAAGCGUUAUCCGGAUUUAUUGGGCGUAAAGCGAGCGCAGGCGGUUGCUUAGGUCUGAGGUGAAAGCCUUCGGCUUAACCGAAGAAGUGCAUCGGAAACCGGGCGACUUGAGUGCAGAAGAGGACAGUGGAACUCCAUGUUGUAGCGGUGGGAAUGCGUAGAUAUUGGAAGAACACCAGUGCGAAGGCGGCUGGUCUGGGUCUGCAACUGAACGCUGAGGGCUCCGAAAGCAUGGGGUAGCGAACAGGGAUUAGAUACCCCUGGGUAGUCCCAUGCCCGUAAACCGAUGAGUGGCUAGGGUGUUUGGGAGGGGUUUCC